GAUGAACGCUGGCGGCGUGCCUAAUACAUGCAAGUCGAGCGAACGGACGAGAAGCUUGCUUCUCUGAUGUUAGCGGCGGACGGGUGAGUAACACGUGGAUAACCUACCUAUAAGACUGGGAUAACUUCGGGAAACCGUAGCUAAUACCGGAUAAUAUUUUGAACCUCAUGGUUCAAAACUGAAAGACGGUCUUGCUGUCACUUAUAUAUGGAUCCGCGCUGCAUUAGCUAGUUGGUAAGGUAACGGCUUACCAAUGCAACGAUGCAUAGCCGACCUGAGAGGGUGAUCGGCCACACUGGAACUGAGACACGGUCCAGACUCCUACGGGAGGCAGCAGUAGGGAAUCUUCCGCAAUGGGCGAAAGCCUGACGGAGCAACGCAGCGUGAGUGAUGAAGGUCUUCGGAUCGUAAAACUCUGUUAUUAGGGAAGAACAUAUGUGUAAGUAACUGUGCACAUCUUGACGGUACCUAAUCAGAAAGCCACGGCUAGCUACGUG
rnacentral:rRNA from 1 species